AUCCCAGAUAAGCUAAUUGAUUUGGUUCUUAUCUGAUUCAUGGGAGGCACAGAUCAAAGUUCUGGGAGUUUCGCUAAUAACGCCGUUUACUAUUCUUAAAAGACGGCGUUUACUAGUAGCUUCACCAUACAUUA